rnacentral:rRNA from 1 species
CACGUAGGGGGCGAGCGUUGUCCGGAUUUAUUGGGCGUAAAGAGCUCGUAGGCGGCUCGGUAAGUCAGGUGUGAAAACUCUAGGCUCAACCUAGAGACGCCACCUGAUACUGCCGUGGCUAGAGUCCGGUAGGGGAGCAUGGAAUUCCUGGUGUAGCGGUGAAAUGCGUAGAUAUCGGAAGGAACAUCAGUGGCGAAAGCGGCUUCCUGGACCAGUACCGACGUUCAGGCACGAAAGCGUGGGGAGCAAACAGG